GCCCACCCACCCAACAUAUUAGUUAACAACUUUAAUUGUGCAGGGCGUAAUUUGCGGCAACACGUACUACCCAUCACGGGUAACCCACACCCCCACGAACUAUAUCAUCGUCGUCUUUUCACACCGUUUCAUCUCAGCGACGUCUGGGCGGCCGACCAAGAAACAUCUUUCACCUGUUCAUCUGAGAGAACUAGUGUUGAUCAUCGACGGCACCCCUUUGCCAUGGAUCAGGUGGCACAACGUGUUAGCCCACGGCGUUGCGGUGCUGCUGUGAGGAAGAACAAAAAGCAUAUCGUAAGAGGUCCUAACUGUGAGGAGGGUGAGGAUUUUGAAGGUUUCAUCAGGUAUGCCAAUCGCGUAAGAAUGGAUGAUGCACAAUUUGCUACAUUGAAACAGCUAGUUGACAAGCACAUGCCA